rnacentral:misc_RNA from 1 species
AACGCACAUUGCGCCCUUUGGUAUUCCGAAGGGCAUGCCUGUUCGAGCGUCAUUAUCAACCCUCAAGCUCGGCUUGUUGUUGGACCCAAGGGAAGUUGACCCUUCCCUGGUCUUGAAGACAAUGACGGCGUCUGGAGGACCCCUCAACACAAUGAGCUUUUUAAGCACGUGUUGUGGCGGAUCUUUAGGCUCGGCCUCUUUUUAUUUUUUCAGGUUGACCUCGGAUCAGGUAGGGAUACCCGCUGAACUUAA